CCUACGGGAGGCAGCAGUCGAGAAUUUUUCUCAAUGGGCGAAAGCCUGAAGGAGCGACGCCGCGUGGGGGAUGAAGGGCUUCGGUCCGUAAACCCCUGUCAUUUGCGAACAAACCUUACGUGUGAAUAACGCGUGAGCUGAUUGUAGCGAAAGAGGAAGGGACGGCUAACUCUGUGCCAGCAGCCGCGGUAAUACAGAGGUCCCAAGCGUUGUUCGGAUUCACUGGGCGUAAAGGGUGCGCAGGUGGGCUGGUAAGUUCGAUGUGAAAGCCCCGGGCUUAACCCGGGAAUGGCAUUGGAUACUACUGGUCUGGAGGAUUGGAGGGGGGACUGGAAUUCUUGGUGUAGCAGUGAAAUGCGUAGAUAUCAAGAGGAACACCAGUGGCGAAGGCGAGUCCCUGGACAAUACCUGACACUGAGGCACGAAAGCCAAGGGAGCAAACAGGAUUAGAUACCCUGGUAGUCUUGGCUGUAAACGGUGCGUAUUUGCUGUAAACGGAAUCGACCCCGUUUGUGGCGUAGCUAACGCGAUAAAUACGCCGCCUGGGAAGUACGGUCGCAAGAUUAAAACUCAAAGAAAUUGACGGGGGCCUGCACAAGCGGUGGAGUAUGUGGCUUAAUUCGAUGCAACGCGAAGAACCUUACCUGGCCUUGACAUGCAUGUGGUAGAACCAUGAAAGUGGGACGACCCCGCAAGGGGAGCAUGCACAGGUGCUGCAUGGCUGUCGUCAGCUCGUGUCGUGAGAUGUUGGGUUAAGUCCCGCAACGAGCGCAACCCCUGUGAUCUGUUGCUAACCGGUUUACCGGAGCACUCUGAUCAGACCGCCCUGUGAAACGGGGAGGAGGUGGGGAUGACGUCAAGUCAGCAUGGCCCUUACGCCAGGGCUGCACACGUACUACAAUGCCCAGUACAGAAUGAGUCGAAACCGCGAGGUGGAGGAAAUCGAUAAA
rnacentral:rRNA from 1 species